GCACAUUUGCUAACUUAUUCAUGAUUGGGUAUUAUUCAAUAAUUGAGUUCAAAUCCUUUUUUGGAGCUGUGGGUUCAAAGCUAGGCCUUUAAUAGUGUUAAUGGUAACUCACUUUGCCUUUCCUAUGGGCUACACCUUGACCUGAUUUGUUAGAGGGACUGUUGGGAAUGUGUUUUAUAGAGUUAUUCUUAAAACGGCGGUAUAUAGACUCUUAAGGAGAGUGAGAUUUAACGGGUAUUGUCGAUUAUAAAGCAAGUUCCUCUGAUUAGGGCUAAUGCCGCCAAACUACAUAGGUUUUUCUUGGGGAUACUACCUGAUGGGAAAGAUG
rnacentral:rRNA from 1 species